UGAGGAAUAUUGGUCAAUGGGCGAGAGCCUGAAUCAGCCAAGUAGCGUGCAGGAUGACGGCCCUAUGGGUUGUAAACUGCUUUUAUGUGGGGAUAAAGUGCGUGACGUGUCAUGCAUUGCAGGUACCACAUGAAUAAGGACCGGCUAAUUCCGUGCCAGCAGCCGCGGUAAUACGGAAGGUCCGGGCGUUAUCCGGAUUUAUUGGGUUUAAAGGGAGCGUAGGCUGUCUAUUAAGCGUGUUGUGAAAUUUACCGGCUCAACCGGUGGCUUGCAGCGCGAACUGGUCGACUUGAGUAUGCAGGAAGUAGGCGGAAUUCAUGGUGUAGCGGUGAAAUGCUUAGAUAUCAUGACGAACUCCGAUUGCGCAGGCAGCUUACUGUAGCAUAACUGACGCUGAUGCUCGAAAGUGCGGGUAUCAAACAGG
rnacentral:rRNA from 1 species